rnacentral:lncRNA from 1 species
UUGUGCAUGUAUGGUAGGCAGACUUAGUGGUGUAGUAUCUUUCAGAAUCAUUGCUAGGUUAAUGAUGUUGCAGGUUUUGCUUUGACAGAUCCCUCGUUUCUUAGCACCGGCAGGACUAUGGUGACAGGGAGCAUCAGCAACUGCAAUUAAUCCAUUUGUGCAUGGAAUUGGGAUAACAAGAAGGUAAAUGGCUUGCAUGAUCCCUUUUUUUUGAAUGUUUGGUGUCCACUCUCUGCGUCAAACUUAGCGUCAAAUAAGCAGAUCCUAGCUGCAGAUGGGGAGGUAUAGAAUGCUUGUCUAUAAGCCCAAUUAAACUGUUUGCCCAUGUGAGAUUGUGUAAUUUUACUCUCUGCUGCUUGCGCACCAUGGACCUGGAAGUACUGGAUCCUGUAUAUUGCUGCAGAAAUUUGAUACUCUCUUUUUUGUCAAGGUUGAGAAAUACUUAAGAAAGCUUAGUACUAUUUGAUGGUUGUAAGCAUGAAGUUGCAGUAAUUAAUAUAGGAAGGAAUAUACUUCAAACUUUACUCCGGGCUAUGUUGAUUAUCUGGCUACAUCUUUGGAAAAUAUUGCUAAAUAUCCUACUUCCAUUGGCAUAUAUGUUCCCUCUCUGGCUGAUUUAUGUAAAAAGUAAAUCAUUUAUGUGGUUCAUGGUUUCCCGAUGUACUAAUGUAAAUCAAGCAUAUUUUUCCUCCUCCUGCAAUUCUCUUAUUCAGAAAUUUUGUACGAUACAUAUUUUGAAUACAACGCUUUCUUUAGGAAAGAAAACCCUGCUCUACAGCUGCCCGUCAAUUCCAUAUCAGUUGACAGGCAAUCACCGCGCCUCUAUGUCGCUGCUAUGAGUUUUCUUAUUCAGAAUUUUGUAGGAUACAUAUUUUAAAUACAAUGUUUUUUAGGAAAGAAAGCACUGCUCUUAUAACUGUCUGUCAACUCCAUAUCCGUUGACAACUGAUCACCGCGCCCUUCUGAUGAUUGCCGCGCAUCUCCGUCGCUACUGUGAGCCUGAUCAGCGAUUCAAACAUUUCGGUGAACUCCUCAUCUACUUUGUCGCCUCCUGCAUGAUUUCAGCAUUCUCAAUCUUUGCUUGCCUUGUUGAGCUUCUCCUAAUCUUUCUUUCCCUCUUCCUCCUGAUCUAUUUCUCUCCCACUGCCCCUCUUCGUUCCCAAACCAGUGGCUAUAUGUGGGUGGAAAUCUGCACUUUUUGCUCUCUUAUGCCAUCUUUGCAUUGCUUAUUCAUGUUUGGACAACUACCUUCUAAUUUAUCAUGUGAGUAUCCUUUCUUUGCAGAUGAAGAUAUCAUAUAUUUAUUAUAGUUUUCUCCAAUCAGUUUGACACCAUUGUUGUGAUUGACGGCAGAUUCAGAAAUUUGGAGAUCAUCUUUUUCAUGCUAUCCGUGAAGGUGAGACUUCAGGAGAAGUAAAACGUCACAUACACAGAAAAUUCCAAGUCCCUGAUGAGGAAUUCUAGGUGAUCUUAUUAGUUUCUUUAAUAGAUGUGAUCAUAAAACUACCAUGCUUCUUUCCAUAUGCUAAUAAAGUAGAUGCAAAUAUUGGAACCAACAUGGAUCUCGUGAUCAAUUGGUUUUGAUGUGUUGAGCCGAGGGUAGUUCACAUACAAUACUACACUCUCAAAUUUGAUUAGUAAUUUUCUCAACGAAUAAAUAAAGUCACUGUUGUCAUAAAACGAUCACUGGUGAUGCAAUCAUGGUAGACCUUAUAGAAGGGCUUGUGAAGUAUUGCUUGAGCUACAGCCACAUAUGCUAAAUUAGUAUAAGAAUACAGAAUGUAGCGAUUCAUCGAUUUUACAUUUCCUUUUGAAAAUAAUUAUUUUCUAGGGGGAAGUUCUUUGGACGUUUUAUCCCUGUUCUGUUUUGUAUCCUUUUUUUCUCUGUUUUUACCCUGGGAUAUUUGUGCAUUGAUCUUCAGUUAUUUCUCUAUUUUUUCCAUGAGCUACCCUGACAAAAUAUUCCUCCGGAUGCCAACGGUGGCUUUUGUUCAUUUGAGUUAUUUGAUAGAUGCUCCAUUUGAAAUUAGAAAUAAUAAAUUGAUAGACUAGAAGUUGCCGCACGCCGGUCGUCGUCCUCUGUCCUCUAUAUAUGGCUGCAAAGCAUCCAUGGGUUUGCUAUCGGCCUCGUCCAGUUGUCCAGGCCCUUGCCCUUUGUCCAAGCUGGCCUUCCAAGGUAUGCACGGCGUCAUGGGAAAGGUCGAGCAUCAGCAUGGAUGGUGUCUCGUGACUCAGCCCUGCCCCUUCUCUUCAUCCACUCGCCCUUCUUUGGGACACAACGGAUAGUGUUGAGUGAUCAGUACCAAUGGCUCCUUUUCUUUGCGCUUUUUUCUCUCAUGCUUGUAGUAAUACUAAUUAGGGGAUUGUGACUAUGUUUUCCAUAUAUUGCCAUAUUAUUUUUGCCACACUUGCCUAACUUGAGUUGCUCAAAUUGCUAGCCACACUUUGGCUUGCCUAAGGGAAUCUUGCCACACUUUUUGUGUCUAUAAUAUGUGGGUUCACUUCUCAUAAAAAAAAUAUUGCCUUAGACGUGGCUAGAACCAAACACCCACCUAACUUGGUCAAAUUUGCCUAAGGUGAGGUGUGGCAAAGUGUGGCAAGAUGUGGCUAGAAACCAAACAGCCCCUUAGUCACUUACCCUGAAUAUUUUAUCUCUUUGUAUGCAAUUCGUAGUUUCACACACUAAACUAGACUAUUUUGUCAUGUUUUCUUCAGGUUCCUAUGUAGGUUGUUCCUUGCAAGGGCACAACAUCGUCAAUUCUGGUGGUGGUUAGACAAUUUGCUAUCAUGAGGUUUGUCUUCUU